CUUCCCACGAAGUGUGUAACUGUUUUCUUGGCUAUUCAUUUCUUUGGUUCGUCUCCUGGGCUACAGUGACGAGUGGCCAGUCAUUGGACCAUAAAUUGUGGGGUUAUGCUGUAUAAAUUCUAAUCAAGUGCAUUAUCGUGUUUAUAAAUUUUCCCGUAAUAUUAGAAAAUGUAGGUGCUAUUAUAUUAAGUAAUCGAAGUCGUGAUGAAUUACCUCAUGACAACCGUCGCAAGAGGAAGAAGGAGAUCAAGGAGAUUGCAAUCUGGGAAAGCCCAUGUUCCUCCUCCCAUCUCUCUCUCUCUCUCUCUCUCUCUCUCUCUCUCUCUCUCUCUCUCUCUCUCUCUCUCUCUGACAAUUUAUUGAGGCUGAAACUGUUUGAGUUUGAGGGAUAAUAUUAUGAUUUUGAUUUUGAUUUUGAUGAAUUGAAUGUGAGCUGGAAUCGGUGAUAAAGAGGAUAUCUUUGAGUGGGUUGGGUAUUUGAAUAAUCAUGAUUCUCAUCAAGGUAACUUCGCAUGCUCUGAUUCUGCUGGCGUGAAAUCCGGUUGAGGCCAAGACUGUCCUGAUGAACUCAUACAUGUUUCGAUGAUUCGGUUGCUGAUUUGGAUACAAGUUCAGUUGUUGCUGAAUGAGUCUCAACCAUGAGAAUUGACUUUAGAAUGUGGCUCAAUGCUGUUUUCCUGUGUUUAUGCUGCUAUGCGUUUCGGUUUUUGCAGCAUGAUGUUCUUUGAAAAUGUCUCCGCUGGAGCCGCCUGUGGGUAAUUAGAAUGUGGUCUUUAGUAUUUGGUCUCGAGAGUUCCUGUUGUGUAAAAUCAGAGUUGUUUCCAAGUUAUUCGAGUCACAUUAGCAAUA